CUUAACAAUGCGAGAACGAUUCACUCCCAACCCCUGUGACAUACCUAUAAUUUGCCUCGGCGGACUCAACGACGGUGCUCCGAGAAAUCGGUCGCCGCUCGCUGCCAGAGGAACCCCAAACUCUAUGUAUUCUUGUGGAUCUUCUGAGUAAAACAAAACAAAUAAAUCAAAACUUUCAACAACGGAUCUCUUGGUUCUGGCAUCGAUGAAGAACGCAGCGAAAUGCGAUAAGUAAUGUGAAUUGCAGAAUUCAGUGAAUCAUCGAAUCUUUGAACGCACAUUGCGCCCGCCAGUAUUCUGGCGGGCAUGCCUGUUCGAGCGUCAUUUCAACCCUCAAGCCCCCGGGCUUGGUGUUGGGGAUCGGCGAUAGUCGCCGUCCCCCAAAUCUAGUGGCGGUCUCGCUGUAGCCUCCAUUGCGUAGUAGCUAACACCUCGCAACUGGAACGCGGCGCGGCCAAGCCGUUAAACCCCCAACUUCUGAAUGUUGACCUCGGAUCAGGUAGGAAUACCCGCUGAACUUAAGCAUAUCAAUAAGCGGAGAAAGGAUCAUUACGAGUUUACAACUCCCAAAGCCCUGUGAACAUACCUAUAAUUUGCCUCGGCGGACUCAACGACGGUGCUCCGAGAAAUCGGUCGCCGCUCGCUGCCAGAGGAACCCCAAACUCUAUGUAUUCUUGUGGAUCUUCUGAGUAAACAAAAAAAUAAAUCAAACUUUCGACACGGAUCUCUUGGUUCUGGCAUCGAUGAAGACGCAGCGGAAUGCGAUAAGUAUGUGAUUUAGAAUUGUGAAUCAUCAAUCUUUGAACGCCAUUGCGCCGCGUAUUUCUGACGGGCAGCUGUUGAGGCUUCAUUUACCUCAAGCCCGCUUGAUGUAUAGGGGAUGCGGCAUGAUCCCUCCUCAAUUAUGGUCGCUCGUUACUCAUGCUUAUAGCUUAACCUGCACUGGACCGGCGGCCAGCCUUUAAAUCCAUCAU
rnacentral:rRNA from 1 species